rnacentral:rRNA from 1 species
GAUGAACGCUGGCGGCGUGCCUAAUACAUGCAAGUCGAGCGAAUGGACGAGAAGCUUGCUUCUCUGAUGUUAGCGGCGGACGGGUGAGUAACACGUGGAUAGCCUACCUAUAAGACUGGGAUAACUUCGGGAAACCGUAGCUAAUACCGGAUAAUAUUUUGAACCGCAUGGUUCAAAAGUGAAAGACGGUCUUGCUGUCACUUAUAGAUGGAUCCGCGCUGCAUUAGCUAGUUGGUAAGGUAACGGCUUACCAAGGCAACGAUGCAUAGCCGACCUGAGAGGGUGAUCGGCCACACUGGAACUGAGACACGGUCCAGACUCCUACGGGAGGCAGCAGUAGGGAAUCUUCCGCAAUGGGCGAAAGCCUGACGGAGCAACGCCGCGUGAGUGAUGAAGGUCUUCGGAUCGUAAAACUCUGUUAUUAGGGAAGAACAUAUGUGUAAGUAACUGUGCACAUCUUGACGGUACCUAAUCAGAAAGCCACGGCUAACUACGUG